AGGUAGGCAGGGCACCAAACGCAAUGCUGCCGCCGAUUUCGACCACGUUUUUUUUUUAUCAAAUUGAAUCCUGGUGAUAUUAGCCGGCAAUAGGCCCAGCCCAUUCAUCGCCACAUUAGAACUUAAUUAAAUCAAAGCCUAGGAUGGUGGUUACCCAUCAACAACCCAGUAGGUCAUAGGCCUAGCCCAGCUACAGCCCACGUAUGGUCCUGUCUUUGAGUUAUUUGCUUCUGCAUAAUAUUUUUCACG
rnacentral:lncRNA from 1 species